rnacentral:lncRNA from 1 species
AGCACUCACACAAACUGAAGGGCCCGGUCUCACUCCUACCGUGCCCCCCACAACAGCCCUGAGUCUGUUUCCAGGUGGUGGGCGAGAGGGGUUUGAAAAUUUGCCCCAGGCUAUCCGCCUCCCAGCUGGGCAAGAAAAGGGCGUGGUUGUUCCCCCACUGAGGAGUCUGCACACCGGAUUUGCAUCUUCCCCUGAGUUCUGGCCUGGAGGCUUCUCGCCCCUGCAAAUUGUUACAAAGUUCAGCUAGAGGGUUCCUUCUUCCUGUGGAGUUUUACCUUCUGCUCCUCUGGCCACCCUCCUGAUGGAUCCCUGUGGUGCCAGGCAGGAAUGACCUGCUUAAGGACCCAGCGAGCUCCCAGGACCUUUCUGCUGCUUCCUCUACCCGUAUAUUUUGCUUGCUUCUCUACAUUGACUCAGCUCCAGCGAUUCCUGAGGAAUCUCAUCCACACUACCCUAUGGACUAAAAGGAAAAGCUCUUCAUGUGGUGUUAGCACGGAGAUGAGAAAGAGAGAAAGACAACAUCAUGCUUUGCUGUCUGUGUGUGAACUGAGUAACAGCUGUGAAGGAUCAGUCACCAAAAGACUUUGAAAGAAGAGGCUUGAUUGGUCACGGCCAUGGAAGUUUAAUUGGGAGAAAAGAACAUCUGCUUAUACGAAAACAUAUUAUAUUCAGCCAUCCCUGCCCUGACUUUGGCCUUUAAAAACAGUGGCAUUAAUUAUCUCAACAAAUGAAUCUUCGGGAUAAAAAUAAUCUAAAUAUUAUUUUACGCUUACUACAUAUUUGCAACGUGCUAAGCUCUUUAUGGUUGCUACCACAAAAAACAUUUAUAAUAUGAGACUUCACAAGGUUAGGAACAGGCUUCACUUCAUUGUGAUGUGUGUAAGGUGACAGAGGACAUAUAACGAAUACGUGGAAGAACUAGGAAUUUGACCUUAGCUUCCAGACAUUUUGAGGAGGAUACACUAUGUCCA